GUCUACAGCCAUACUACGCUGAAAACACCGGUUCUCGUCUGAUCACCGAAGUUAAGCAGCGUCAGGCCCAGUCACAGUACUUGGAUGGGAGACCUCCUGGGAAUACUGGUUGUCGUAGACU